CCAUGGCGAAGGGCUAAACAGAGAUACAGAGACAUACAGACAGAGAGAAAGAAUCCCACUAAGGUUGGGGAAAGACCUCAAAUUGUCCCAGGGAAACGGAAAACAAAAGCUGAGAUUGGCAUAAAGAACAUAGGAGCCUGUGCUCAGCAGUAAAGGAUGUCAGCCUGCCAACCAGUACCAAAGAGAAUGUGACACAGGUAUAGUAACGAAAUCUCCUAGACAGAUCCCGUUAGAUUCAUAGAUCCCUAGGUUUUAAGCCGGAAGAGACCAUGACGAUAACCUAGUUGGGCGUCCUGCAGAACACAAACCAGGAAUUUCACCCAGUGACUCUGUCGGGAGCCUGG
rnacentral:lncRNA from 1 species